ACCAAUUUGCAACUAGCUAGCCAACACCUUCAAACGUCAUGGACCGACCUGGUCAAAUGGAUCAAGUGGUUCUCUAGUUCUGCCGGCCGCUGGUGCACUGGGGCAAGGUACACCGAUCGACCGAUAGUGGUGGCGGGAGUAAAUCUCAUUCAUAAAAUUCAGCCCCAAUCUUUGGCAAAGAUUGUCCUCGAUCUCGACACCACCCGGACCAAUGGACACAGGCACACUGCCUGGGGUUGGCAGCACUGGCUGAAUUUAGAUCAAUCGGUUUUCACCCCGCAGUGAGCAGCAGCGAGCAGCGGCGAGUGGCGAAGGAAACGCGGGAGAAGAGAAAAAAACCAGGCUAACCGGGUCAGAGACCCAGCCGCAUGCCGGCCACAAUUGCUGGGCGGUUCGUCAUCGUGCGGAAUUUAUGAAUGAAUGAUUUAAAAAUAGCACGUACAGAGCACGCUCGCCGUUUGCCGAAUGUGUGUGUGCGGUGCCUGGUGGGGAUCUGGUUGAUAAACGGACUGCAACCGGCAGCAAACCCCGUAGACUGUCGUGUGGGUGGACGUUUCUCCAUCUGCAAUUCGAUUUCACACCCGCGGGGUAAUGAGCACCGCCUGGACAGCAAGCCAACCGUCCUAAGCCAGCGUCGAACACCAACCGGGUAUGUUUUGUCAAAAGCGAACACGAGACACGCCGGAAAGACCGGAAUUUGGGGAGCAGAAGAAAGAAAGAGGAGUAAAAACUCCCCCUCAAAUGUGAAGCAGAAACGGUCAAAGUGAAAGGAAAGCAGACCUACCGUGUUCUAGAAAAAGCAUGGCCGGAUCGAUGGCCAUCUCCGGCAGCAGCUUUCCGGAAUGAAUGCAGGGGAUGCUGGCAGCAUUGGAGCAUUGAGAAUGCAGCUGGCAGAGCGAUUGUGGUACCGAACUUUACGCAACGCACACCGGCAACGUUCUCGAAGAUGCGAUUGCGGAGGUGGUCCAAAUAAGUAACGCAAAUAAAUCACCGCAUCUUGGGUUGCGAUGCCAACAUCUUCGCUAUCGACGUGACGCGGCACCGCUACCGAGAUAGUUUGUGUUGACGCCUACAGUACGUGUUUGAGCUCCAUUUCGCUAGCACUUCUUUGACUUAAAUGCAAAGUUUGUUCGGAAAAAUACAAAAUUCCAACACCCGAUUCCAGGGCAACUUCAGCCGCAGUGCUUCAGUCUUUGCACUCUUCGCAUCGGGGCAGAGUCAAUUGCCCCCGGGGCCGUUGAGACCGUUUAUGGCGUUCAUUUAGUCUCGGCAUAGGAUGACCGAACGUUGGGCGGCGUUAGCAACCGAAAAAUAUAAAUAUAUCCCCUACACAUAUCCGGUGCACGGUUCCGAUGACGCAUCGUCGCCCGGUUCCCGGAGCCGAAAAUGACGUAAGUGUGUAAAGUGUGCUAGCACACUGGCUGCCCACGUAAUCAGGCAGGGCUUAUGGGGCCAACACCCGCCCCCCUUCCUCCAUUGGGCCCACGAGUGUACCGUUCGUGAAGCCUAAUACCUUGGCCCUGCAUGCGCCAAGCUGGUCACGAACUACUUACGCGUUUAGACGGUACGGGCUGGUGAUAAGUUGGCAAAAAAUAGGAAUUGAGUGAGAGGGAUUGAGUGAGAGAGAGAGAGAACAAAAAAAAAGAAUUGGAACAGAAGCAAAUUGUAACCGAACCGGGUGGGUUGUUUGAAGAGAAGUAAAAAAAAACAACACCACCGAGAGGCUUACAAGCGCCACCCUUAUCGGCAGGAUGACGCCGGCAUCAUAAUCCGACACGACUGUGGCGUCGUCAAUCGUCAACAUACACACAUUCACAUCCGUCACCCGUCGCACAGCUGGAAGUGACUGGCCGCAAAUGGAGCAGAACGGAGUGAAAUCGAUACACAGGCGCUUUGGAGUCGCGCUUUGGAGACGACGGACCUCACUUACGUCAGGUCAGAAGAAGCCAUGAAGUGUACGUGUCUUCCCUUUUGGGCCAGCGUGUGGGAAUGGGUCACACAGUAAGACUAGCAACCCCCAUCCACGGUGAGCCUAGUUUCAUUCUUUUUGUUUUGCUUUUGCUGGUGCUGACCGUCAUUUACAGACUUGUAGGUGAAAAGUUCUGAACCACAUUUGCUCAAGUAUUCCAUUAGAAGAGAGCCUCCGAGGACAUGGCCGGAUCGAUGUCAAUGGUGGUACCGUCUGGCCGGAGGCUACCGCUUAUGAAAAGAGACACUCACGUUAGAUUGAGUUGUCGGUAUCAGGGUGUGUAACGGUCUGUUAAAGUUUGCGAUCCAAUGGAGAUACUGGACGAGCGUUACCAGUGUUUGCAACAUUUUAUUGUACGAUGUGCUUUCCGUUUCCGAGCUGCCGCAAGUGAAGGUGCCAGACUUCAUAAUGAUAGCAAUAAUCCCCAAAUAAAUAAAUAAAAAAUAACAACACAUCCACAGAACCAUGAGCAUCUGGAAUGUGCUCGGUACGAUUUACUUCAUGCGGGGCGUUUCUGCUGCCCCUCCCUCCCACCUAUUAGCUGUGUGCAAUUUGAUGCUCGGGGUUUGGUGAAGCACUUCCGGGGCGUAUUUAGACCUUGAAACGCUCCGUGCCCGAACCUAGCAGGCUGGGCUAUUGAUUUUGUGCUGGCAAAGUGGCGAAAACUAUUGCGCAUCAAAAGUGGACCACAAUCGAUGAGCUGUUGCUAAUUUCUGCGCAACAUUUUGCGCCACGCAUUAGGUUUGGAAUGCGUGCGGCAGUGGCUUCGUGCGAAUGAGUGGAGUAGUUGGAAAGAAGGUAUGAACACGCAUCGAUACGGUGGUGAGCUAACUUGGAAAGACAAAACAUUAGUAUGCGAUGUGUAAAUUUUAGAAACGAUCAUCAAUAAACGAGCUCACGUGAAGCUCUGUGAAUUUGGACAUUUUACCAAACCUAUUUCACAAUGUCUUAGAUAGGCUUAAAAUAAGUUGUUACUUUUUCAGUCAAACUCAAUUGAACUGAACAUCUUCAACUAUAAGUGUGUACAAAAAUCAAUACCAUAGCAGCUUAGAUUCGGGCACACCUCUCCAAAACUCCCAACAAACCCCACCUGAAGCUGCAAACGACCGUUGCACCAGCCAUGAACAGCCUACGCUCGGAUCACUUCGGCUUUGCGAGGGACUCUUUUCGUAAAUUCUACAUGCACAUGAUAAAUAAUGUAUUUCACGACACGACUAUUAUACCUUUUCGUUAAGAUUUGUCUAACAGAAACAUAAACAUAAAUUAAAAAUUAAACUUAGUUCAAACAGAAAAAUAAGGUCAAAAAAUCUUGAAGAACGUGUGAAGUUUAAACAUGGAAUUAGAUAAAAAGAAGCAACAUUUGCCUCGUGCACCUUGUAUUACCUUGUAGAACCACUGCUACACUUGAAUAAUGUCUAUAGAAAGACAUCUUCAGUGGAAUAGAUCCACUCUGUAUUCCUAGCCUAUAUUACACGAUUUCGACUAACAGGUUGGCUGAUAAGUCCCCGGUCUGACACAUAGAUGGCGCUGCUAGUAUUAAAAGCAUAUUAUUUUUAUAUAGUACCAACCUUCAAAUGAUUCGUGUCAAAAUUUGACGUCUGUAUGUCAAUUAGUUUGUGAGACAGAGCGUUUUUUGUCAAGCAACUUUAGUUAUUUUG